rnacentral:rRNA from 1 species
GGAAGGAUCAUUGUCGAAACCUGCAAAGCAGAACGACCCGCGAACUAGUUUAUCUGGNAGCGUGUCGGCAUUGUACCCUAACACCGGCGCGGGUUGCGCCAAGGACCAAUAAUUCUAUCGCGUCCCGUCUCCCUCGGGCAACCGAGGGAGCCGGCGAUGGCGUGUCGAUAANNAAACGACUCUCGGCAACGGAUAUCUCGGCUCUCGCAUCGAUGAAGAACGUAGCGAAAUGCGAUACUUGGUGUGAAUUGCAGAAUCCCGUGAACCAUCGAGUCUUUGAACGCAAGUUGCGCCCGAAGCCAUUUGGCCGAGGGCACGUCUGCCUGGGCGUCACGCAUCGCGUCGCCCCCUCCUCCUCCCUUUGGGACUGGGAGAGGGGCGGAUUCUGGCCCCCCGUGCGCCCUGCGUGCGGUCGGCCUAAAUACAGAGCUCGUGUCCGCGAAUGCCGCGACGAUUGGUGGUUUGACGCACGACUCCACGGGCUUCGGCUCAUGGCAUCGUGAANCAUCGCGUCGCGUGCCCGAGUGGACCACGUCAAGCUCGAAGGACCCUAGCGAAGGGAAGGAGAGUGGGCAUCCCGUCUGGGAUCCCGUGAACCAACCCCUAUCCGUUGCGACCCCAGGUCAGGCGGGACUACCCGCU